GAUUAUUGACCAUGGUGCUCAAAUUCCACAAGAAUGACCACCAUCCACUGCUUUGACUGACAGUUGACUUUUUUAGGGUUUUGACUGUCUGUAUGUAAACUGAUGACCUCUGAGUCUUCAACCCUUGACCAAAAUACUUCAAAUAGACCUCCAAGCCAUGUGAACUUGUUGGACAAACCCCAAGGCCUUGGUUCAAUGAGAAAUUCCUUUGCUUGAUUGGUUGACUGAUCAGGAGAUUAGUUUGACCUAAUUCUUGAUUGCUUGCUCUUGAGGCAA
rnacentral:lncRNA from 1 species